rnacentral:rRNA from 1 species
CCUACGGGGUGCAGCAGUGAGGAAUAUUGGUCAAUGGACGAGAGUCUGAACCAGCCAAGUAGCGUGAAGGAUGACUGCCCUAUGGGUUGUAAACUUCUUUUAUAUGGGAAUAAAACGUUCCACGUGUGGGAUUUUGUAUGUACCAUAUGAAUACGGAUCGGCUAACUCCGUGCCAGCAGCCGCGGUAAUACGGAGGAUCCGAGCGUUAUCCGGAUUUAUUGGGUUUAAAGGGAGCGUAGGUGGAUUGUUAAGUCAGUUGUGAAAGUUUGCGGCUCAACCGUAAAAUUGCAGUUGAAACUGGCAGUCUUGAGUACAGUAGAGGUGGGCGGAAUUCGUGGUGUAGCGGUGAAAUGCUUAGAUAUCACGAAGAACUCCGAUUGCGAAGGCAGUUCACUGGACUGCAACUGACACUGAGGCUCGAAAGUGUGGGUAUCAAACAGGAUUAGAUACCCCAGUAGUC